CCUCCCCUCGACUUAAGGAAGUGAAGAAAGGAUGGAAGUUAUAGAGGAAAGACAAUUGCGGAGACCUCGGCAGCGCGCAGUGUCUUUCUAGACGGUUAGUGACGUUCGUAAGCACGAGGUAGGGAUGUGGAGUCCCUCGGAAGCCCUCCCUAAGCCACCAGAAGGAUCCCAAACCAGAAAGGGCGCCGCACUCCUCAGAGCUCAGGCGUGCACGGGCUGGUCCGAGAAGACCCUUCCUGACGACCACCACCAGAUGUCUAAAAAUGGCGCUCUUAUUCCACUCUGAGAUCUACACAUCUCACGGACAGACAGCGUCCCCCAACCGCAGCUCUUCCAUGAAACCAAUAAAACUCCGUCGUUUGUUAUUGGGGGAGAAACCUUUUACGGGAAACUGCCUUCUGGCCAUCGACCUUGCUGAGAAACCUCUGAUUUUAUUGGGAUGCUUGGUGAUUCAGAGAGCCCUAAUGGCCCAGCCAUUUCCUGGAGAUCUGCCCCCUGCCCCCAGCUGGGAGCUACCUAGUCAAUAGAAGACCUCUUCCAGGCAGAUGGAGAAGACUUCGCAAGUCAGCAGCCUCCUGGUGUGCCGAAGCACCCUCUUUGUUCUCCUCAGGCGCUGGCUAAGGAAUAGAAAGGUUCAUCGGUGGACCUGAAGAGACACACCACAUGUUGUGGGGGGCGAGGUGCACCCCUGGGGUUCAGGAAGGGCACCUCUGGCAAGAAUGCAAGACUCUGAAACUUUGCUUAAAAAAUUUCUAAUAAAAAAGUUGGCAGUUAUUCUAACCUGAGAACCAGAGAAGUCCGAAAGCAAGGAAAUGUGCAAGAACGACUAUUACGCGGGAGAUUUUCGUGGAAGAAGGAAACGUUUGCUGCAGUCUGCUGUGGCUGCCCAGGACUUGAAAGACGGGCUAUACUACGGGAAAUGGGAGCGAUUCUGGGGAGACCAGAGUGCCUGACUUCCGGCUGAGGAGGAGCACCCCCCGGACGCUAAGCAGGUGUCCACGCACCAAGCCCUCGCUCUCCUUCCUGCCUGGCAAACCAGAGGGCCACUCUCAAGCUGUCCUGGACAGACUCCAUUUGGGCAGUAGUGUAAUCCCAUGGCCAAAAGGGGGGUGACAACCUGCUUUUGAGAAACUCUAAAUUGAUCCCCAUCCCAGGCUGAACCCUAAACCUCCAGGCACCCCCAGAGCGGGUUAGCAGAUACCGUCACGUCUUCAGCUAGACCCUGUAGGCUUUCUUAGCUUCUCCUUUUGUGGCUAGGAGAUGCGUGGCACCUCGGCUUCUGGGUCUGUUUAGAUUGCCUAGAGACAGGCCUGAGACCUCCCACUUCUCCAGAACUCUCCAGAAGCACGAGGCAUUCUGUAGUCCAGUGCAAGUCCCAGGACUGGCGUUCGUGGAGCUUCCCGGAUGAGUCUUUCUGCCUCGAUGGAAGGCGCUUAUUCCAACUACUUCGGUGGUUCUGUAUUUUAGGCUGACAACAUGGACAUACAUGCACGUGGGCGUUCCACUGGCAGCCCACAUUCAACGUCUCGUGUCUUCCAACAGGCUCCUAUUCCAAGCGUUCCUACUUCUGGUAAUGGCGACACUGUCCCUCCAGUAACUCAAACUUCCCUUUCAAAGCCCGAGAAAGGAGAAGCCAUCGCGGAUCAGAGGAGGUCGCGUCCUGCCUGGGGAGACAACAUCUGAAGGAGGGAGGGCUCCUUUUCACGCUCAGUUCAUGGAGACUGAUGUGAGGUCAGGAGCCGGCCAGCACUGGACAAAGCUGAGGGGGAGGUUGAGGAAGGAUGGACACUGGGGAAAGUGCCGAAAAGCUAAGACUUUCUAUUCAGUUGUCAGUUAUAAAAAGAAUAAAAGCCCAAAGAGGAUGGCAAACAAAAUCAGAAUGUUACGGGGGUUUGAGGCAUGACAUGCAUACACACACAUAUAAAGGUUUAGGCAUAUGUCUUUUUUUUUCUUGGCUAAAAUAUGCUUGAAAGAAGCAAUCCGAGGGGAAAGAAAAUAGUUUCUUUUUCAAAUACAUUCCCUUCCAUGCCCUCGUCCACAUUCUGGGGGCAUAAGCAAAACCAUAAGAAAGAAAAUGCCUUUGCUUCAUAAUAGCUAUCAACAACCCCCUGUCUCGUUCUUGCACAAAUACUUGGUCUGUCUGUUUGCAGGGAAGGCGUGGGGGAAGCUCGGUAUAUCCCAGUGUCUGAGGGACACCAAUAAGCCAUCAUUUUCGCCAUGACUUUGAAGGUCAUACUAAUCCCUUGACUAAAGGACCAUGGAUACCCAUAUUGUACAAAGGUCUCGUCUUGAAUAAAAUCAUGCUCUUUCUAGAAGCAUAAUGGCACCUAUGUAUUUUCAAUCUAGCAGGCAGGAAAUAUGAAAUCAUAUGUUUAUAGAACAACUUUUACACAGGACUGGGGAAAAAAGGUAAUACUGGCAACUGGGAUGUAGUUAUAAUUUGUAUCGUUUUUUGUUAGAUCCAGAAAGAACAUUAGAUUCUAGUUCAAUGCAAAGAAGUUUCUCUAAAGAGGAGAAUGAUGAGUGAGAGAGAUAUCCAACACUAGUGAUCUGUCAAUUGAUGUCUGCUAUUUUUUCUCCUUAUUCAAUCUUUGAUCACAGGUUCUUUAAUAAAUACCUUUUCUUUUAAGCCUUUUUACCCUCUUCAGAAUUGAAUUUUAUUUUACUUUUAAUGAUAAUUUCCUUAAAUCCCCCUUUCCUUACAAUCUCCUCUCUUGUUUUCUUCUGUUUCCUUGCCCCCUCCCCCAUUUCUACAUCUAUAUAUAUUCUUCUGUAUUCAGCAUUUCCUUUGUCUGAUUUCAAAUGAGAGUGAGAUUCAUGUGAUAUCUGCUUACCCCGCCACAUUUUCAUGUUGAAAUAGUCUCAUGUACCUCUUUCUUGGCCAAUUCUUUACUUGUAUAGUUGAUAACCUUCCUGUGAGCUUUCAUUUUAGAAUACUGGGAGGAGAUUGGUGCAUUCUUCCUAGUUCUACUUUUCCCUUUGGUUUGUAUAGGUUAAAUUUAGUGGUUGGACUUAAAUUAUAUGCAAUAACAUGAUUGCCAAAAUUACUAUAUCUCAAGUCAGAAGUUUAUUUACCAAAGUAGAGGGGAAGCAAUAAAAUAGAGGAAUGUGAAAGAGGUUAGAGAAAAUAGUACAGACUAGUCCUCAGCCAGGAGAGUGGGUAGUUCCAAGAUGGAAGCUAGUCUCUUAGGAAACUAGGAAAGGAGUCAGCCAUUUUCACUCACCAAAUGUAGUCCAGGAGUCAGAAUCUAAAUUGAAUCCAAGCUCCAAGCCCAUGAUCCAAGCUGCAGUCUCCAACAAAACUCCCUCAAAAACUCUCUUCAGUCAGAAAAUUAUCUCUCCAGAAGGCAGUCUCUUCAGACUACCUUCUCCAAGACCAUCUCCUCAGACUGAGUUCAGGGCUUGCUUUUAUGGCAAUAAUUUAAAAGUUUCUGGCUGUUUCAGUUAGAAAAAAGGGUGGAGCUCUCCAAGCAUCUUGCUGGCUUCUCACCUAGCACUAAGUAGGGUGGGAAUUCACUAAGUGGUUUGCAUGAGCUCCUCCAUCUAGUUCAAGCUUGUGUUGAUUCAAUCAAAUAGUAGACAAAAGAGAGUUAAUCCUGUCUUCACAAUUUAGUGAGGUAUUUAAGUUAGUAUUAACCAAAGUUUUAACUCCAACUAGACAAAGAGAAUAAAGAAUUCCUUUUUCAUAAGUGUAAACUCAAAAUCGACAAAGAGAACCAAGAAUUUCCUUUCACAGGUUUUGGUUGGUUUGGGCGGUUUUCAUUUCUAGAUUUCUAAAUUUCCUGGAUUUUUUACUGGUCAUAUUUUUAGACAGUCUGAUGAUUUCUUAGAUUAUCUCUCCUUGAUCUCUGUUACAGGUCAGUUUUUACUUUAUUUUUUAGGGAAUUACUUAUGUUUUCCUCUAUUUUUCCAUCAUUUCAUUUGUUUUCUUUCUUAUUAUCUCAUGGAGUGAUUUAUUUCUAUUUGGUUCAUUCAAAUUUUCAGGGAAUCUGGUAACUGAAAAAUCCUAUCCCAAGUUAUUUGUUCUUCCAAUUCUUUUCUCUAGAGCUAUCACUUAAUUUAUAUUAUAAUUUCAAAACUCUUUAUUUCCCCUAGGAAUUCUGUUUGACAUUGUGGCUAUGUUUUUGUUUGGGGUUUUCCUUUGUAGAUCUAGAGAAGCUGUCUUAAGUUGGUGUCUUGAGCAUCCCUAUAUCUACAAUAUAUUUUUUUAAAACCCUUUACCUUCCAUCUUGGAAUCAGUACUGUGUAUUGGUUCCAAAGCAGAAGAAUGGUAAGGUCUAGGCAAUGGGGAUCAAGUGACUUGCCCAGGGUCACACAGCUAGGAAGUGGCUGCGUCCAGAUUGGAACCCAGGACCUCCCAUCUCUAGGCCUGGCUCUCAAUCCACUGAGCCACCCAGCUGCCCCCUCUACAAUAUUUUUUAAAAAAAGAAAUGGUGUUUCUUUUUUUACUCCAAUCUUAUUUCUUGAAUUGGGACUUUGUGUCAGUGUCAAACUCUGCACAUAACCAUAAGGAAUGGGGUUAAGUAUUGCUCUAUGAUAUCUAAUGUCCUAGAAAAUAUGCUUUUUACAGACCUCAGUAGCAGUUUAGACCAGCUUUGCAUCAUCUGACCCUGGACUGUAGUCAGAGCCACAUAGCUUCAGGCUCCAGGUGUCCCUGGCUCUCUCUUGAUCCUCAUCCUGGAAGCUUUCCAUCCCCUAAACUCCUGGAGCCAGGCUUUUCUGACUUGACCUCUUCUCUAGUGUCUGUAGGUUUCUAGCUAUCUCUUUCCACUUUAAUCUGGAUUGAAAAUACACAUAAUGAAUUUUUUUCUUGGAUUUCUUAAUCAUUACUCAGACUGGUGUUCUUUUUUCAACCAUGAUGGAGUAAUUUUUCAUGGCUCAGAUGCUCUAUUCUAAAUUACUUUGCUAUCAUAGCUAGACUGGAUAGCCUCUGAGGUUCCUUAAUAAUAAUAACAUUCUUAAAUAGAGAUAACUUGAAGUCACAUAAUAAAAUCAUUAAAGAGAUCAAAUUACAGAAGCUGACACAGAGAUUCUUCCUUUAAAUCAAACUGUUGGCUUUCUAUUAGCUGGUUAGAAAAUUCAGAAGAGUCAAGAACAAGCCGUGGAAUAAAUGAUCACUUGACCUUCUCUCCCCUUUCCCAUUUUAAUGGAAAAACAAACAGAAAGCUAAUGUUCCAAUAUAAACACGGGUUUUGAAUGUGCUUCUGUUUAGUAUAUUCAUAAAAGAACGUGCAGAUCAUAAGUGAGCAUCAUACUCAACUUCUGCCAAGUUUUGUUGAAAGUCGGAUGCAUUUAUAUUCCGAUACGGAAGGGAUUAAAAAUAUGAUGACGGCUUAUCUUUGCUUUAUAUGCCUAUCAAUAAAACUAUCUGGAUCAAAAGAGAUAGGAAGAUUCGUCACUUUCUUAGCAUAAUUCUAACAAUUUUCAAAAUGGUCGGAACUCCCCAAACAGAGUCUGUCUCCACAGUGUUGCAAUACUAUUUCUCGUGUGUCAUUUGAAACUGUGGUAAUCAAACGGACUAUUCUUUCACAUGAUGCUUUUGAAAAGCGUUUUCCCCACAUCCUUCAGUCUCUUUUCUUUGGGUUUAUAAAUGGGUUAGUUGCCUAUGACUUAGAUACCAGACACUUAUUAUGGCACGUUAUUCCUUGGCUAAAUGGUUCCCUUUUCUUAGUUGGCAUUAAUUUUGUUCAUGCAAAAGACCUUGAGUUUCAUGUAAUCAAAAUUAGCUACAGGUUUUGUCUUUUGUGUUGGUUUGAACAUCACAUUUGUUCGAGAAUUCACCCACUAACCGUAGCUUUGGAAGGAACCUAAUCUAGUUCUCUUUUAUUAGUUUUCUCUAUAUUUAAUAUUCAAGUCAUAUGUUUAUUUCGAGCUUUUUAUGGCAUGAGGAAUAAUAGGUCCAAAGCCAAUUUCUGCCAGACAUUUCUAGUUUCCCCAGCAAUUCUCAUCAAAGUGGAAGUUUUGUGAAGGUAAUUCCUGUCUUCAGAUCUAUUAAAGGCUAAAUUAUUGAGUUCAAUUACUUCUGAUUCUUUUCUACAGACCUGUUUACAAUGUUUUUAAACCAAAGAUUUUGAUGACGACUGCUUGAUUAUAUUCCGUGAAGCAUGGAAGUGCUACGCU